AGAGUUUGAUCAUGGCUCAGAUUGAACGCUGGCGGCAUGCCUUACACAUGCAAGUCGAACGGUAACAGGGAGCUUGCUCUGCUGACGAGUGGCGAACGGGUGAGUAAUAUAUCGGAACGUGCCCUGGAGUGGGGGAUAACUAGUCGAAAGAUUAGCUAAUACCGCAUACGAUCUCAGGAUGAAAGUGGGGGAUUCGCAAGGACCUCAUGCUCGUGGAGCGGCCGAUAUCUGAUUAGCUAGUUGGUAGGGUAAAAGCCUACCAAGGCAUCGAUCAGUAGCUGGUCUGAGAGGACGACCAGCCACACUGGGACUGAGGCACGGCCCAGACUCCUACGGGAGGCAGCAGUGGGGAAUUUUGGACAAUGGGCGCAAGCCUGAUCCAGCAAUGCCGCGUGAGUGAAGAAGGCCUUCGGGUUGUAAAGCUCUUUUGUCAGGGAAGAAACGGUUUGGCUUAAUACGCUGAGCUAAUGACGGUACCUGAAGAAUAAGCACCGGCUAACUACGUGCCAGCAGCCGCGGUAAUACGUAGGGUGCAAACGUUAAUCGGAAUUACUGGGCGUAAAGCGUGCGCAGGCGGUUAUGUAAGACAGAUGUGAAAUGCCCGGGCUUAACCUGGGAACUGCAUUUGUGACUGCAUGGCUAGAGUGUGUCAGAGGGGGGUAGAAUUCCACGUGUAGCAGUGAAAUGCGUAGAUAUGUGGAGGAAUACCGAUGGCGAAGGCAGCCCCCUGGGAUAACACUGACGCUCAUGCACGAAAGCGUGGGGAGCAAACAGGAUUAGAUACCCUGGUAGUCCACGCACUAAACGAUGUCUACUAGUUGUCGGGUCUUAAUUGACUUGGUAACGCAGCUAACGCGUGAAGUAGACCGCCUGGGGAGUACGGUCGCAAGAUUAAAACUCAAAGGAAUUGACGGGGACCCGCACAAGCGGUGGAUGAUGUGGAUUAAUUCGAUGCAACGCGAAAAACCUUACCUACCCUUGACAUGUCAGAGAGCUCGAAGAGAUUUGAGUGUGCUCGAAAGAGAAUCUGAACACAGGUGCUGCAUGGCUGUCGUCAGCUCGUGUCGUGAGAUGUUGGGUUAAGUCCCGCAACGAGCGCAACCCUUGUCAUUAGUUGCUACGAAAGGGCACUCUAAUGAGACUGCCGGUGACAAACCGGAGGAAGGUGGGGAUGACGUCAAGUCCUCAUGGCCCUUAUGGGUAGGGCUUCACACGUCAUACAAUGGUACAUACAGAGGGCCGCCAACCCGCGAGGGGGAGCUAAUCCCAGAAAGUGUAUCGUAGUCCGGAUUGGAGUCUGCAACUCGACUCCAUGAAGUUGGAAUCGCUAGUAAUCGCGGAUCAGCAUGUCGCGGUGAAUACGUUCCCGGGUCUUGUACACACCGCCCGUCACACCAUGGGAGCGGGUUUUACCAGAAGUAGGUAGCCUAACCGCAAGGAGGGCGCUUACCACGGUAGGAUUCGUGACUGGGGUGAAGUCGUAACAAGGUA
rnacentral:rRNA from 1 species